rnacentral:rRNA from 1 species
GAUUAACGCUGGCGGCGUGCAUAACACAUGCAAGUCGAACGAUGAAGAUUAUUAGACUUCUUCGGAAUGAAAAUAAUUGGAUUAGUGGCGGACGGGUGAGUAACGCGUGAGUAACCUGCCUUACACAAGGGGAUAGCCGUUGGAAACGACGAAUAAUACCCCAUGAAACUAUCACUUCGCAUGAAGCGAUAGUCAAAGUGUUAGCGGUGUAAGAUGGACUUGCGUCUGAUUAGCUAGUUGGUGAGAAAAAAGCCCACCAAGGCAACGAUCAGUAGCCGGCUUGAGAGAGUGUACGGCCACAUUGGGACUGAGACACGGCCCAGACUCCUACGGGAGGCAGCAGUGGGGAAUUUUGCACAAUGGGGGAAACCCUGAUGCAGCGACGCCGCGUGAUUUAGAAGGCCUUCGGGUUGUAAAAAUCUUUUGUAUAGGAAGAAAAUGACAGUACUAUACGAAUAAGGUCCGGCUAAUUACGUG